rnacentral:lncRNA from 1 species
AUGAUUCAGUUACUUGCAGGCAGAAUACGUCCUAAGGGAGACACCACCUCAGUGAGGCUGCGUGGGCUCGGGAUGGGAGGAGCCUGGUCAGGAAGCGGCUUCCCCAAACCCAACUUCAUCUUCCCCUGUGCUCCCCUGUCCUCCCCCAUCCUCUCUUGUGCUCCCCCAUCCUCCCCUCUGCUCCUCUGUGCUCCUCUGUACUCCUGUCUUCUCCGUCCUCCCUCGUGCUCCUCAGUCCUUCCGUCCUCCCCUCUGCUCCUUUGUACUCCCCUCUCCUCCCGUGCUCCCUAUCCUUCUCCGUCCUCCCCUGUCCUCCCCAUCCUGCUCCAUCCUCCCCUGCACUCCCCUGUGCUCUUCUGUACUCCCCUGUGCUCCCCCAUCCUCCCCUUUGCUCCUCUGUGCUCCUCUGUGCUCCUCUGUACUCCUGUCUUCUCCGUCCUCCCUCGUGCUCCCCCGUCCUCCCCUGUCCUCCCCUCUGCUCCUCUGUACUCCCCUCUCCUCCCGUGCUCCCUAUCCUUCUCCAUCCUCCCCUGUCCUCCCCAUCCUGCUCCAUCCUCCCCUGCACUCCCCUGUGCUCUUCUGUACUCCCCUGUGCUCCCCCAUCCUCCCCUCUGCUCCUCUGUGCUCCCCUCUCCUCCCCUGUGCUUUCCUAUCCUCCCCCGUCCUCCCCAUCCUCCUUUGUCCUCCCCUGCACUCCCCUCUGCUCCCUGUUCUCCUCUGUGCUCCCCCAUCCUCCCUUGUGCUCCCCUCUCCUCCCCUGCCCUCCCCAUCCUCUCCUGUCCUCCCCUCUGCUCCCCUGUACCCCCCAUGCUCCCCCAUCCUCCCGCAUCCUCCCCCUGCGCCCCGUCCUCCCCUGUCCUCCCCUGCACAGCCCUCAGCCACACUGUAGUCGAGCAGGUCUCCUUCUCUCUCUGGGCCGCCCCUCACCCCACCCCCCAUGCCGCCCACAGUUGGGGAGCCGGGCCUACAGACGCUGAGGACAGCCCUGCAGGGAAUGCAGCGCCCCGUCUCACCCACUGCCCUCCAACCCUCAGCCAGACGGCGCAGGACCCCUUGGGGGUAGGCACAGGCCUGUCUACACCGGGGCUCAGGAACAGGAGAGGGGGGCGCCGAGCAUGUUCACAGGCUGCAGGUGUGAGACACAGGUGA